GACGUAGGGCGCGAGCGUUGUCCGGAUUUACUGGGCGUAAAGAGCGCGCAGGCGGUCGAAUAAGUCGAAUGUGAAAGCCCCCGGCUUAACUGGGGAGGGUCAUUCGAUACUGUUCGACUUGAAGGCAGGAGAGGGCAGCAGAAUUCCCGGUGUAGUGGUGAAAUGCGUAGAUAUCGGGAGGAAUACCAGUGGCGAAGGCGGCUGCCUGGCCUGUUCUUGACGCUGAGGCGCGAAAGCUGGGGGAGCAAACGGG
rnacentral:rRNA from 1 species